AGCGAACGCUGGCGGCAGGCCUAACAUAUGCAAGUCGAACGAAGUCUUCGGACUUAGUGGCGGACGGGUGAGUAACACGUGGGAACGUGCCUUUAGGUUCGGAAUAACUCAGGGAAACUUGUGCUAAUACCGAAUGUGCCCUUCGGGGGAAAGAUUUAUCGCCUUUAGAGCGGCCCGCGUCUGAUUAGCUAGUUGGUGAGGUAAAGGCUCACCAAGGCGACGAUGAGUAGCUGGUCUGAGAGGAUGAUCAGCCACAUUGGGACUGAGACACGGCCCAAACUCCUACGGGAGGCAGCAGUGGGGAAUCUUGCGCAAUGGGCGAAAGCCUGACGCAGCCAUGCCGCGUGAAUGAUGAAGGUCUUAGGAUUGUAAAAUUCUUUCACCGGGGACGAUAAUGACGGUACCCGGAGAAGAAGCCCCGGCUAACUUCGUGCCAGCCGCCGCCGUAAGAC
rnacentral:rRNA from 1 species